GAAUAGACGAGCUGGCCGAGCGCGGCGGGGUCGGGCUUGGUGAGGUCGCCAACGACGGCGAGGUCGCAGGCGGCGUCGGCCUCCACGAACACGACGCCCUCGCCGGUGAGCUCCACGGUCAGCUUCAUCUCCGGGCUGAUCCCCAGCCGCCCCGCCAGCGGGUGGUAGUGCACCAGCACGCGCGCCAGCGCGUCGCGGAGCGCGGCCGCCACGUCGACGUCCUUGCCGCCGCCGCCGCCGUCGGCGCUGGUGGGCGAGGGCUUGUAGCAGUACACCG
rnacentral:lncRNA from 1 species